GAAGCCUGAACUCCAGUGCCCCAGCAGGCAGCCAGCAAGGAAGGAAUAAGGAGGCAGGCUGAGUGGCCAUCGCUGACUGCCUUUUACCCACUACGGUUUUCUCUGCCCAGCACAGACCAGUCUUUGCCUUCUUAAUGGAGAUCAAAUAUUCCAAAGGAACUAUACAUCUCCAGUGAUAUCUUCUCCAAGAUAAAGCAGAAUCCAAGCAGUACUGAAGCCCUAGAACAUCUCACCACUCAGAAAAAUGAGGUUUGAGGUGCAAAUCUGUCUGAGGCUCCAUUGACCAGAUGCCUUAGCAGAGGCAGAGUUGGAAUGCUAUCCAGUAAUCUACCAAUCCUAAAAUAUGAUGGAAUCUGUCACACAGGGCACUUCAGGCUAUCUGUUA